rnacentral:rRNA from 1 species
GCGACCGUACUCCCCAGGCGGAUUGCUUAAUGCGUUAGCUGCGUCACCGAACUGCAUGCAGCCCGACAACUAGCAAUCAUCGUUUACGGCGUGGACUACCAGGGUAUCUAAUCCUGUUUGCUCCCCACGCUUUCGCGCCUCAGCGUCAGUAAUGAGCCAGUAUGUCGCCUUCGCCACUGGUGUUCUUCCGAAUAUCUACGAAUUUCACCUCUACACUCGGAGUUCCACAUACCUCUCUCACACUCAAGAUCGCCAGUAUCAAAGGCAGUUCCGAAGUUGAGCUCCGGGAUUUCACCUCUGACUUAACGAUCCGCCUACGCGCCCUUUACGCCCAGUAAUUCCGAGCAACGCUAGCCCCCUUCGUAUUACCGCGGCUGCUGGCACGAAGUUAGCCGGGGCUUCUUCUCCGGGUACCGUCAUUAUCGUCCCCGGUGAAAGAAUUUUACAAUCCUAAGACCUUCAUCAUUCACGCGGCAUGGCUGCGUCAGGCUUCCGCCCAUUGCGCAAGAUUCCCCACUGCUGCCUCCCGUAGGAGUUUGGGCCGUGUCUCAGUCCCAAUGUGGCUGGUCAUCCUCUCAGACCAGCUACUGAUCGUCGCCUUGGUGAGCCAUUACCUCACCAACUAGCUAAUCAGACGCGGGCCGCUCUAAAGGCGAUAAAUCUUUCCCCCGAAGGGCACAUUCGGCAUUACCACCCGUUUCCAGGAGCUAUUCCGAACCUAAAGGCACGUUCCCACGUGUUACUCACCCGUCCGCCACUAACCCCGAAGGGUCCGUUC